rnacentral:rRNA from 1 species
GACGAACGCUGGCGGCGUGCUUAACACAUGCAAGUCGAACGGAAAGGCCCUGCUUUUGUGGGGUGCUCGAGUGGCGAACGGGUGAGUAACACGUGAGUAACCUGCCCUUGACUUUGGGAUAACUUCAGGAAACUGGGGCUAAUACCGGAUAGGAGCUCCUGCUGCAUGGUGGGGGUUGGAAAGUUUCGGCGGUUGGGGAUGGACUCGCGGCUUAUCAGCUUGUUGGUGGGGUAGUGGCUUACCAAGGCUUUGACGGGUAGCCGGCCUGAGAGGGUGACCGGCCACAUGGGGCCUGAGAUACGGCCCAGACUCGUACGGGAGGAAGAAGGGGGGAAUAUGGCACAAGGGGCGGAAGCCUGAGGCAGCAACGCCGCGUGGGGGAUGACGGCCUUCGGGUUGUAAACCGCUUUCGCCUGUGACGAAGCGUGAGUGACGGUAAUGGGUAAGAAGCACCGGCUAACUACGUG